AUAAAGAUGGCAGAGUGUGGUUACAACUUCUCUCUGACUAUAUUCAGGCCAUCUGGUAAACUUGUCCAGACUGAAUAUACUUUAGCUACUGUAGCUGGAGGGGCCCCUUCAGUGGGAAUUAAAGCUGCAAAUGGUGUGGUAUUAGCAACUGAGAAAGAACAGAAAUCCAUCUUAUAGAUGAAAGGAGUGUACAUAAAGUGGAGCUAAUAACCAAACACAUCAGUUUGAUAUAUGGUGGCACAAGCCAGAUUACAGAGUACUUGUACACAGAGCUUGGAAACUUGCUCAGCAAUGCGAUCUUGUUUACCAAGAACCCAUUUCCAUAGCCCAGCUGGUACAUCUGUGAUGCAAGAGUAUAUCCAGUCAGGUGGUGUUCGUCCAUUUGGUGUUUCUUUACUUAUUUGUGGGUGGAAUGAGGGCGAACCAUAUUUAUUUCAGUCAGAUCCAUCUGGAGCUUACUUUGCCUGGAAGGCCACAGCAAUGGAAAAGAACUACGUGAAUGGGAAAACUUUCCUUAAGAAAAGAUAUAAUGAAGACCAAGAACUGGAAGAUGCCAUUCAUACAGUCAUCUUAACCCUAAAGGAAAGCCUUGAAGGGCAAAUGACAGAAGAUAACAUAGAAGUUGAGAUCUUCAAUGAAGCUGGGUUUAGGAGGCUUACCCCAACUGAAGUAAGGGAUAACUUGACUGCUAUAGCAUAAUGAAGAUGUGCCUGAAUCAUAAAGAUCUCACACACUCUACUUAUUUGUGUUAAAUUACGUUUGGUUUGUGCAGACUUAUUUCUACAAGGUUUAAUGGUUUCACAUUUUUAAAAUAAUAAUCAUAAUAAACUGUU
rnacentral:lncRNA from 1 species